rnacentral:rRNA from 1 species
CCUACGGGUGGCAGCAGUGGGGAAUAUUGGGCAAUGGGCGCAAGCCUGACCCAGCAACGCCGCGUGAAGGAAGAAGGCUUUCGGGUUGUAAACUUCUUUUGUCAGGGAAGAGUAGAAGACGGUACCUGACGAAUAAGCCACGGCUCACUACGGGCCAGCAGCCGAGGUAAUACGUAGGUGGCAAGCGUUGUCCGGCUUUAAUGGGUGUAACGGGCGUGUAGCCGGGUUGACAAGUCAGAUGUGAAAUCCUGCGGCUUAACCGCAGAACGGCCUUUGGAACUGUUGAUCUUGAGUACUGGAGAGGCAGCCUGAAUUCCUAGUGUAGCGGUGAAAUGCGUAGAUAUUAGGAGGAACACCAGUGGCGAAGGCGGUCUGCUGGACAGCAACUGACGGUGAGGCGCGAAAGCGUGGGGAGCAAACAGGAUUAGAUACCCGGGUAGUC